GUACUGAUGAAGAGUCCCAUAAUAAGAGGAAACAGUUGUCCAGUAC
rfam:Trichobilharzia regenti genome assembly, scaffold: TRE_scaffold0017038